AUGAUAAUACCUCCAUAUUUCCACGGGACCUACCAUCUAUAUCCCAUUCUCUCUUCUCUCUCUCUUAUCAUGACCAGAAUAAAAGGUUCUGGCGGUGAUGAUGAGAUCUACAGAGGCAGUCCGGCGGAGUGUGCGGCCGGCGUUUCGCGUAUUCUUCUUCCACCUUUUUUUUUUGUUUUCAAUUCCGUUUCUUUGACUGUUGUUAUUGUUCUGUUUUGA